GAAGGUCUUAGUAUAAAUUAAUUAUACCUCAUUGUCAAUGAGAAGAUUAUUAGAUUUUA
rnacentral:tRNA from 1 species